rnacentral:tRNA from 1 species
GGGAUAGCUCAGUCGAUAAAGCAGGAGACUCUUAAUCUCAGGGUUGUGGGUCCGAGCCCCACUCGAGCCG